rnacentral:lncRNA from 1 species
AUAGGAUUUGUAGCUUAACCUCUCUUCAAACUCUUUUGUUGAAAAAGUGUUCAAAAUUGAAGGCCUUUCCAGAUAUCAAUAUUGGAAGUCUAAAAGCUCUUAAAUUGUUAGAUUUGUCAUAUUGCGAAAACCUUAAGAGUCUUCCAGACAGUAUUUGUAGUUUGACCUCUCUUCAAACUCUUUUUUUGAAUGGGUGUUCAAAAUUGAAGGCCUUUCCAGAUAUCAAUAUUGGAAGUCUAAAAGCUCUUGAAUUGUUAGAUUUGUCAUAUUGCAAAAACCUUGAGAGUCUUCCGCAUAGUAUUUGUAGUUUGACCUCUCUCCAAACACUUUUGUUGAAUGGGUGUUCAAAACUGAAGGCCUUUCCAGAUAUCAAUAUUGGAAGUCUAAAAGCUCUUAAAUUGUUAGAUUUGUCUUAUUGCAUAUACCUUGAGAGUCUUCCGCACAGUAUUUGUAGUUUGACCUCUCUUCAAACUCUUUUGUUGAAUGGGUGUUCAAAAUUGAAGGCCUUUCCAUGUAUCAAUAUUGGAAGUCUAAAAGCUCUUAAAUUGUUAAAUUUGUCAUAUUGCGAAAACCUUGAGAGUCUUCCGGAUAGUAUUUGUAAUUUGACCUCUCUUCAAACUCUUUUGCUGAAUGGGUGUUCAAAACUGAAGGCCUUUCCAGAUAUCAAUAUUGGAUGUCUAAAAGCCCUUGAAUUGUUAGACUUCUCAUAUUGCAAAAACCUUGAGAGUCUUCCGCACAGUAUUUGUAGUUUGACCUCUCUUCAAACUCUUUUGCUGAAUGGGUGUUCAAAACUAAAGGCUUUUCCAGAUAUCAAUGUUGGAAGUCUAAAAGUUCUAGAAUUGUUAGAUUUGUCAUAUUGCGAAAGCCUUGAGAGUUUUCCGGACAGUAUUUGUAGUUUGACCUCUCUUCAAACUCUUUGGCUGAAUGGGUGUUCAAAACUGAAGGUCUUUCCAGAUGUCAAUAUUGGAAGUCUAAAAGCUCUUGAAUUGUUAGAUUUGUCAUGUUGUAAAAAGCUUGAGAGUCUUCCGAUGAGCAUUUGCAAUUUGAGCUCUCUCAAAACUCUGCGGAUUAAAGAUUGUCCAAAACUCAAGGGAAUAUUAAAGAUGAACCUAGGGGUUGAUUUAUGCUCCUCGAGAUCUUUGAAUCUGACUUGUCACAUUUCAAAUUCAGGAGUAAUCUGGGAUAAUGACUGCUUUUCCUCAUUAAAAGCAUUAAAUCCAUGGUGCCCCCUGUCAUCACUGGUAGAAUUAUCUGUAAGAAACUCUAAUCUCAUGGAACGAGACAUCCUCAGUGCUAGUUUUCGCUUAUCCUCAAUGCAAAUAUUAUCUCUAAGGAACUUCCCUUUGAUGGUAGGAGGAAUCCUUGAUGACAUUUUCCAUCUAUCUUCAUUGGUAGAAUUAUCUCUUAGUGAAUGCAAUCUGAUGGAAGUAGGAACCCUCCAUUAUGUUUGGAACCUAUCUUCACUGCUAAGAUUAUAUCUAAGAAACUGUAAUCUAAUGGAAGGAGAGAUCCCCAAUCAUAUUUGGCACCUAUCAUCAUUG